rnacentral:rRNA from 1 species
CCUACGGGUGGCAGCAGUGAGGAAUAUUGGUCAAUGGGCGCGAGCCUGAACCAGCCAAGUCGCGUGAGGGAAGACGGUCCUACGGGUUGUAAACCUCUUUUGCCGGGGAGCAACGGGCGCCACGUGUGGCGCCACUGAGAGUACCCGGAGAAAAAGCAUCGGCUAACUCCGUGCCAGCAGCCGCGGUAAUACGGAGGAUGCGAGCGUUAUCCGGUUUUAUUGGGUUUAGAGGGUGCGUAGGCGGAGCGUGAAGUCAGUGGUCAAAUUGAGGGGCUCAACCCGUGCCCGCCCGUGAAACUGGCGCUCUGGAGUGGAAGAGAAGUAUGCGGGAUGCGUGGUGUAGCGG